AAAAGGGGCUUCUGUCAUGAGUGGCACACAUAGGGCAACUCAACUGCUCUUCGUGCGGAAUUGACAUCAAGAUAUUUUGGAAAUAUAAUAAUUGCACGUUAAUUACAGCUGUGUUGAGCUAUAUUAAC
rnacentral:snRNA from 1 species